rnacentral:rRNA from 1 species
GAUGAACGCUGGCGGCGUGCCUAAUACAUGCAAGUCGAGCGAACGGACGAGAAGCUUGCUGCUCUGAUGUUAGCGGCGGACGGGUGAGUAACACGUGGAUAACCUACCUAUAAGACUGGGAUAACUUCGGGACACCGGAGCUAAUACCGGAUGAUAUUUUUAACCGCAUGGUUCAAAAGUGAAAGACGGUCUUGCUGUCACUUAUAGAUGGAUCCGCGCUGCAUUAGCUAGUUGGUAAGGUAACGGCUUACCAAGGCAACGAUGCAUAGCCGACCUGAGAGGGGGAUCGGCCACACUGGAACUGAGACACGGUCCAGAGUCCUACGGGAGGCAGCAGUAUGGAAUCUUACGCAAUGGGCGAAAGCCUUACGGAGCAACGCCGCGUGAGUGAUGACGGUCUUCGGAUCGUAAAACUCUGUUAUUAGGGAAGAACAUAUGUGUAAGUAACUGUGCACAUCUUGACGGUACCUAAUCAGAAAGCAACGGCUAACUACGUG